rnacentral:rRNA from 1 species
GACGAACGCUGGCGGCGUGCUUAACACAUGCAAGUCGAACGGAAAGGCCCUGCUUUUGUGGGGUGCUCGAGUGGCGAACGGGUGAGUAACACGUGAGUAACCUGCCCUUGACUUUGGGAUAACUUCAGGAAACUGGGGCUAAUACCGGAUAGGAGCUCCUGCUGCAUGGUGGGGGUUGGAAAGUUUCGGCGGUUGGGGAUGGACUCGCGGCUUAUCAGCUUGUUGGUGGGGUAGUGGCUUACCAAGGCUUUGACGGGUAGCCGGCCUGAGAGGGUGACCGGCCACAUUGGGACUGAGGUACGGCCCAGACUCCUACGGGAAGCAGCAGUGGGGAAUAUUGCACAAUGGGCGGAAGCCUGAUGCAGCAACGCCGCGUGCGGGAUGACGGCCUUCGGGUUGUAAACCGCUUUCGCCUGUGACGAAGCGUGAGUGACGGUAAUGGGUAAAGAAGCACCGGCUAACUACGUG